rnacentral:rRNA from 1 species
AUUGAACGCUGGCGGCAUGCCUUACACAUGCAAGUCGAACGGCAGCACGGGAGCAAUCCUGGUGGCGAGUGGCGAACGGGUGAGUAAUACAUCGGAACGUGCCCAGUAGUGGGGGAUAACCCGGCGAAAGCCGGACUAAUACCGCAUACGACCUACGGGUGAAAGCGGGGGAUCGCAAGACCUCGCGCCAUCGGAGCGGCCGAUGUCAGAUUAGCUAGUUGGUGGGGUAAAGGCCUACCAAGGCGACGAUCUGUAGCUGGUCUGAGAGGACGACCAGCCAAAGUGGGAAUGAGACACGGCCCAGACUCCUACGGGAGGCAGCAGUGGGGAAUUUUGGACAAUGGGCGCAAGCCUGAUCCAGCCAUGCCGCGUGCGGGAAGAAGGCCUUCGGGUUGUAAACCGCUUUUGUCAGGGAAGAAACGCUCCGGGCUAAUACCACGGAGUAAUGACGGUACCUGAAGAAUAAGCACCGGCUAACUACGUG